CCUACGGGAGGCAGCAGUGAGGAAUAUUGGGCAAUGGGCGAAAGCCUGACCCAGCAACGCCGCGUGAGGGAUGAAGGCCUUCGGGUUGUAAACCUCUUUUCUGGGAGAAGAGACAAGGACGGUAUCCCAGGAAUAAGUCUCGGCUAACUACGUGCCAGCAGCCGCGGUAAUACGUAGGAGGCUAGCGUUAUCCGGAUUCACUGGGCGUAAAGCGCACGCAGGCGGUCAUGUAAGUCAGACGUGAAAGCUCCUGGCUCAACUGGGAGAGGUCGUUUGAUACUGCAUGGCUUGAGGUUGGGAGAGGGAAGCGGAAUUCCCGGUGUAGUGGUGGAAUGCGUAGAUAUCGGGAGGAACACCAGUGGCGAAAGCGGCUUCCUGGCCCAUACCUGACGCUCAGGUGCGAAAGCGUGGGGAGCGAACGGGAUUAGAUACCCCGGUAGUCCACGCUGUAAACGAUGCGAACUAGGUGUUGGUAGUAUUAAUCCUAUCAGUGCCGUAGCUAACGCGAUAAGUUCGCCGCCUGGGGACUACGGCCGCAAGGCUAAAACUCAAAGGAAUUGACGG
rnacentral:rRNA from 1 species